UGAAAAAUCAUUGCAUAAGUAUAUGAACUUCAAAUAUUUGACACACUUAUUUAAUAUACUGAAAUUCUCGGAUUAUUGGAUAUCGUCUAGAACAAGAAAAUAAGCCUAUUUAUAUUUAUUUACAAAAACCUUAAUACCAAACAAAAACAGUAAUCCAACUUAUUAAGUCCACUCGACAAAAAAUAGAAAAAAAAAUUACAAAAUAUACCUACGAAAUCUCCGAAAGUAAAAGAUAAUAUAAAUUGCCAAUAUGAGCAAAUCCAAUUAUUUAGUAAUAACAAAUCAUGCAACUUUGCAGCUUAAAGUAAAAGAUAACAAAUAUGUUGAUAUAUAAGUGUACAUACAUAUACACAUAUGCAUAUGUAUGCUGACACAAGCAAUUCACCAACCAAUCAACCGUCCAACAAAAUCCGUGCAACAAGCCGAAGCAAAGCAAGUAAUCCUUCCUACAAGCUGGCCCACGUCAACGAUCAUCAAGGAUAUUUCACAUCAAAUGUCAGCCUUAACCGUUGACCAUGAAAAAGAGGAUAUGGCUAUUAACUUGAUGCUUAUUAAGUGCAUGAAGGCGCAGACACAAAAUGCGGGCAUGUGAAUAUGUGUAUGGAGAAUGUAUGGAACUCUUAUAUAGAGUGGAAUGAUCUCUAUGCUGAUUAUCAUCUAUAAACAAUUUCCACAAAUAUAGCCAUUAUGGAUAUGUGCCUAAUAGCUGGCGUCGAACAGUCGACCGCCCACGCUUACCUAAACUGUUUUCCAAAUUAACUGCGGUGAGGCAGUGGGGCCAUGCCCACACCGUGGGGGUACCAACUGCGGAGGAGGAGUACUCACAACAAUCACAUUAGCAACACAUUUCAAGUGAUUUAUGUGCUUCUGAGAAUUUUUUGCAAUUCUAUCUAAUAAAAAUCAUAAUGCGAAUAAUGAACCGAACGUAACGGAAAUGAGAAA